CUCCACUCAAGCCAAUUAAGGAGGACUCGGUCCACUCCGUUACGUGUACAUCCAACAAGAUCGGCGUUAAGGUUCUUUUUCUUCAGGAUCAGGCACAGAGACUGACUGAAUGGCUCCAAUUAUCAGGAUUUGAAAACCCAGUAUCAGAAUCUACCACUUUGUAUGGAGGAGGGGAGGAGACGAGUGGGGACCAGCUUGACAUCCAGUCUUCACCUGGACAUAUGGAAAGAACAAAUGUGCGAUCUGCUCGUUCCCUCUGAAGGUCUCUGUUACGUAUUUCCUCCUCUCCUCCAGAGCAUAAUAACCAAUGACUGCUCUCAGAAAGAACAGGCCUGAGGGAGAGGGAAAAGCGGAUACCCACCUGUGUCGCUGUUUGCGUGCCAAGUCCAGGAACAGUCCAUACAGCCCUGCUGCAUCCCACGACGCUGUCACAAAGCAGGAGUUCAUCCGAGGCCAAGAUGUUAAUUAUUCAUACUGCAUGACUGAGGAUUUUGGAGGCAGAGAGAGAUUCAUCUGCAAUAUUUGGAACACCAAUGGAGGUCUACGUCAACACAGAAUUUAUACAGCAGCUGGUGCUAGUCAGAGCUAAUGACAGAAUUUCAGUUUAAUAAAAAGACCCCCAACUGAGCACACCAUCUUGAAAAAAGUAUACUUAUCAAACAGCUUUCAAUCAGUUCAAGAGAGACACCUUAAUUGGGGAGAGGAAGAAUUGCAGAGUAGUUUGUAAUCAUGCCAAUUCCAGAUCAAUAACUGCAUGUCUGUUCUUUGGUAGAAAUAGCUUUUGCUUUAUAUUAAGUAAUCACAUAUAUAUUCUCUCUAUUUGGAUAAGGAAACCUUCGCUUUAUUUGACAAUGUAUAAUGAUAUACUCUUCUAAUUCACCUCUGUGUCUUCACAAUAAACAUGAGUAAAAUUUAGACAAGUGAUGGUAAAGGUCAAUAUAAUUAUUUAUUUUUAAAAUAAAUUUUGUAUCUAACAGGAAAGCAGUUCUUAUGAAAUUUUUAUAUUUUCAAAAAUUGUUUUGUUCAAAUAAAAUUUUAUGAGUAAAGUUAAAUGAUGGUGGUUUAAUUAUAAGAAGAGUAUACUGAACACUGAUAAUCUGAUUUGUAUGCAAUUACUUCGGGGAAGGCUGUAC
rnacentral:lncRNA from 1 species